AAGACCGUCUACCGCAUCUCCGUGACCAUGGUCAGGAAGGACCAGCUGGCCGCGCCGGGCCCCGGCGGCCCCGACCCGCGCCCUGCUCGGAGGCCCCGGCCCGCGCGCUCCCCGGACGCGCCCGGGCGGCUGGUGGAGGAGGCCGAGGAGGAGGCGGCGGCGGCGGCGGGCGCUGAGGACCCCGAGGAACGCCGGCCGCGCGCCUGGGACUUCCGCACCUUCCGCACCCGCAGCACCGGGCAGCUGGAGCUCGGGCGGCUCCGGCCUUGCGCACGCGGCCCCGAGCCCGCGGACCUGGCCGGCAGCCCCCCGGCCGUGGAGGAGGGGCCCGGCUCGCCCGCGCCCGGCAGCCCCGACGUGGAGGGGGUCCGAGCCGCGCCCCUGCGGCGGAGCCUCAGCUUCAGGCACUGGAGCGGGCCCGAGGCGCCGCGGAGUCGGGCGCUGGGCCGCGGGAGGCGCCACAGCAGCUCCGGGAGCCUGGCUUGGGCGCCGGGCGGCGAGGCCGCGGCCGACCCCGGGGCCGCCCUGGAGCCCGCAGAGGCCCCCGCGCCGCCGGCCUCGGAGAAGCGCAACACCCUGGACGUGGGCGAGGUGCUCAGCAAGAACGACGCGCUCUCGGACCUGGAGCGCUGGGAGCGCAGCAAGAGCAAGAACCGCACGCUGGACAACAGCGACCUGCAGCGGCUGGAGCGCGCGCGGGCGGCGGCCGCGGGCCCUGGCGGCGCCUCGGAGCACCGGCUGCUGCGCUUCUUCAGCGGCAUCUUCGCGCGCAGGGAUGGCGGCGCGCCCGGCGGUCCCUCUCCCCGGAGCGGCGCCUCGCGGUCCCGCGGCUACUUCAGCCUGCGCAGGGCCCCAGCCGACGCGCACUCGUCCAGCGCCGAGAGCAUCGACGGGUCCCCGCGCAGAGGUGGGCGGCGCGGCCGGGGAGAUGCCUUUGUGAAUAGCCAGGAAUGGACAUUGAGUCGAUCUGUCCCGGAGCUCAAAGUGGGAAUCGUGGGUAACCUGGCCAGCGGAAAGUCGGCCCUGGUGCACCGGUAUCUGACCGGCACAUACGUCCAGGAGGAGUCUCCCGAAGGUGGCAGAUUCAAGAAAGAAAUCGUUGUUGACGGACAGAGCUAUCUGCUGCUGAUUAGAGAUGAAGGGGGCCCCCCAGAGGCACAGUUUGCCAUGUGGGUGGACGCUGUUAUAUUUGUCUUCAGCUUAGAGGAUGAGAUCAGCUUCCAGACUGUUUACCACUACUACAGUCGGAUGGCCACCUACCGGAACACGAGCGAGAUCCCUCUGGUUCUCGUGGGGACCCAGGAUGCCAUAAGUUCCACGAACCCGCGGGUCAUCGACGACGCCAGGGCGCGGAAGCUGUCCAGCGACCUGAAGAGGUGCACGUACUACGAGACGUGUGCCACGUACGGGCUGAACGUGGAGCGCGUCUUCCAGGACGUUGCCCAGAAGAUUGUGGCCACAAGGAAGAAGCAGCAGCUGUCCAUAGGGCCCUGCAAGUCGCUGCCCAACUCCCCAAGCCACUCGUCUGUCUGUUCCGCACAGGUGUCUGCCGUGCACAUAAGCCAGACGAGUAACGGAGGCGGGAGCUUAAGCGACUAUUCCUCCUCCGUCCCGUCGACGCCGAGCACCAGCCAGAAGGAGCUUCGAAUCGACGUCCCUCCCACGGCCAACACGCCCACACCCGUCCGGAAGCAGUCCAAGCGCCGGUCCAACCUUUUCACCUCUCGGAAAGGGAGUGACCCAGACAAAGAGAAGAAAGGCCUGGAAGGCCGAGCAGACAGCAUCGGGAGCGGUCGAGCCAUCCCAAUUAAACAGGGCAUGCUGCUGAAGCGAAGCGGCAAAUCUUUGAACAAGGAGUGGAAGAAGAAAUACGUCACCCUGUGUGACAACGGCGUGCUGACCUAUCACCCAAGUUUACAUGAUUACAUGCAGAAUGUUCAUGGUAAAGAGAUUGAUCUUCUGAGAACCACUGUGAAAGUCCCAGGGAAGAGGCCACCCCGAGCCACGUCGGCCUGUGCGCCCAUCUCCAGCCCUAAAACCAAUGGCCUGUCCAAGGACAUGAGCAGUUUACACAUCUCCCCAAAUUCAGGGAAUGUCACUAGUGCGUCUGGGUCUCAGAUGGCAAGCGGCAUCAGCCUGGGCUCCUUCAGCAGCCGGCCGGACAGCAUGCAGCAACGCUCCUACUCUGUCUCCAGUGCCGACCAGUGGAGUGAGGCUACGGUCAUUGCAAACUCGGCCAUCAGCAGUGACACGGGGCUGGGCGACUCCGUGUGCUCCAGCCCAAGUAUCUCCAGCACCACCAGCCCCAAGCUCGACCCGCCCCCCUCCCCUCACGCCAACAGAAAGAAGCACCGAAGGAAGAAAAGUACCAGCAACUUCAAGGCCGAUGGUCUCUCCAGCACUGCUGAAGAACAAGAAGAAAACUUUGAGUUUAUCAUCGUGUCCCUCACUGGCCAGACGUGGCACUUUGAAGCCACCACUUAUGAAGAGCGAGAUGCGUGGGUCCAGGCCAUCGAGAGCCAGAUCCUAGCCAGCUUACAGUCCUGUGAGAGCAGCAAGAAUAAGUCCCGACUGACGAGCCAGAGUGAGGCCAUGGCCUUGCAGUCGAUACGAAACAUCCGAGGGAACUCCCACUGUGUGGACUGCGAGACCCAGAAUCCUAACUGGGCCAGUUUGAACCUGGGAGCCCUCAUGUGCAUCGAGUGCUCGGGGAUCCACCGGAACCUAGGCACCCACCUUUCUCGAGUCCGGUCUCUGGACCUCGACGACUGGCCCAUCGAGCUCAUCAAGGUGAUGUCAUCCAUCGGGAAUGAGUUGGCCAACAGCGUCUGGGAGGAGAGUAGCCAGGGGCGGACGAAGCCCUCGCUGGACUCCACAAGGGAAGAGAAGGAGCGAUGGAUCCGGGCCAAGUACGAACAGAAGCUCUUCCUGGCCCCGCUGCCCUGCACGGAGCUGUCCCUGGGCCAGCACCUGCUGCGGGCCACCGCCGACGAGGACCUGCGGGCCGUCAUCCUGCUGCUGGCGCACGGCUCCCGGGACGAGGUGAACGAGACGUGUGGAGAGGGGGACGGCCGCACCGCGCUGCACCUGGCAUGCCGGAAGGGGAACGUGGUCCUGGCGCAGCUCCUGAUCUGGUACGGGGUGGACGUCAUGGCCCGCGACGCCCACGGGAACACGGCGCUGGCCUACGCCCGGCAGGCGUCCAGCCAGGAGUGCAUCGACGUCCUGCUGCAGUACGGCUGUCCGGACGAGCGCUUCGUGCUCAUGGCCACCCCCAACCUGUCCAGGAAGAACAAUAAUCGCAACAACAGCAGCGGGCGGGUGCCCACCAUCAUCUGAGGACCGCCGGGCCCCCGCAGCCUCGCGCCCUCGCCCAGAAGUCACGACACUGUCAGACCAGAAGGGCUUUCUUCGCCAACGAUGCUCUCGUUCCCAUCUUAGAGCCUUACGUAACACCAAGGCCAGGAAGCCAAAACCCAGGGCUAGUGUUAGAAAUAACCAAUUUGGGAAGGAGGUCGAGUUGUGUUCGUUGGUUCUCGUGGAGGUUCUGCGAAGUGACCGUGAGGACACCAACGCAUAGUCCAGCCUCUUCUGUUCAGAAGUAGAACUUCCUUUACCGAGAAACCACGUGCUGGGGAAGACACACACGCACGCAGUCACGGGUUAGGGUAGCUUCACGAUCUGGCUGGAUUCCUUCUGUGCCCCGGAAACCCUGCAGAGAAAGGAGCCUUGAUUCUGACCCCGUGAGAGCAGAUCUCCGGUACUGGGCAGAAAGGUGGCUCUCCAAGCCCAGAGCCCCAGUCGUGGGGCCCCGGCCCCCGCCCGUCUCCUGUCAUCCUAGGAGAGGAGCGGCUCCAGGGUGAGCAGGUGACAGAUUCCCGAGUCUGUGGCCCCAUGAGCAGGUGCAGUUGUGGGUCUCCCAGUGAACGCACACCACGCGUAAUUAUCCCGGGAGGCAGGGGGAGGCAGGGGGGUGCUCGCUGAUCACGCGGCGGUCGGGUGCUCUCAUUGGGUUACUCUUGACCAGGAUCCUGAAAGGAGCCCAUUCUCUGCCCGUGAGCCCGGGCGGCGGCCCUUCCAGCACCACUGCCUUCUGAAGCUUUGUCUAACCUGAUGGGGUCGCCUUGGACCCAGCCUCUGCCGUCUGGCCUAGGGACCGUUCUUUGCAGUUUUGUAACACCUGCAUGCAUUCAGGGUCAUUCUCUACAUCCUCAAAGCAGCGGUCACUAACUUAUAGGGGAGAGCGUGGUCCAGUGAGAAAGACAGCCCUGGCUCUCCUGUCCCUCCUGUGUGGCCUAGGGCAGAGGCCCCCAGCUUUGGGGAUCUUUUUCCUCAUCUGUGAAACCGGGGUGGCCUUGCGGGAUCUGAUGACCGGUCGGUUGCCAACCAAUGUGAUAAAAGCCAGCCAGACACCCAGCCAGAGGCUGGAUGCUCAGGAAAUGGGAUUGUUCAUUUAGAACAGAAAUGCCGAGAGCAGAAAGCCAGAACCCAGGCCUGGAAAGCUGCCCCCAGGCUGGCGGUGCGUCCCCCAGCCAGGGCCCUAGGGAGUCGGUGACGGCCCCCCCUUCCCGUCUGAGCCUCUGGGCCUCCCCUCUGCAGGACCAGUCAGUGCCCUUCCCCACCCCUGCGUGCUGGGAGCAGUGUCAGAGGAGGGGCCUCGCUGGAGCGGACGUCCCUUUCAGGGCUGGCAUCAGGCUCGGCCUGUCUAGUCCCUGCAUUUGGGGAACAUAUCUUCCCCGUAAAGGGUGGCCACUGGGUCCUACCCGGCCCCCAGCCCGAGCUGUGCUCGAGGAUGACCUGGGUCACCGUGGCUCCAGCUGUGCCCACCCUUCCUCCUCGCAUUUAGAAUGUUCCGGAAAUAAGAAGUCCACAUUCCCGCCUAGGGAGGUUCAGAAGCCUUGCAACAAUAUAGAGCCUCUAAGAGUAAGUAUGGUCAGGCCUCAAAAACUUCUCAAAAGGCAAAGAUAAUUGGAAAGCAAAUCCAUUACCCCUCGAUGGGCCCCUCCCCCCUCCCCCCUCUGCGCUAUUUCCAUCCCUCACGCGCCCCACAAGGUCGGCCUGACUUUCUAGAACUCCCCUGGAUUGUAUUUAUGUCCUUCAAGCAAACAAAUUGAAAAGCAGUCAGGAAGGAAUUCGAAUAGAAAUGUGCUGAAGAAUCACAUCUUUCUUUCCCGGGAAAUAUAAUUUAUUUCUCACUGGCCUCCUCAAAUGGGGGUUUCACACCUUGUGACGUCCUGUCUUCAAGUGAUUCUCACCCCCAUCCUUCACCAAAAAGCUAAAUAAGGGCCUUUGGCAUCCAGACUUGGAUUUUUCACUUCGGGCCAUUAUCGACACGUUUCCUGCUUGAAUUCCCACGUGGCUUUCUUCUGGAAGCCCUGUGGUCAGUGAGCCCUCGGUGUGGGCCCCCGCCCGCUCCGUGCCCUACACCCUGAUGGCUCUGUCAUCGUUCAGGCAUCGAAAUCAGGUUGCCUUUCAGUCAGAAUAUUCAAAAUUGAGUUGAAUAUUCAAAAUACCCAACUCCAGUUACGCAGAGGAGAGAAGGUGGGGGGCGAGUUAGAUGGAAACAGACUUUUAUUUCCAUCGUCGCCAGGAAGUUGUCCCUGGAACCCAGAAUGGCCAGGCCCCUCGCGAGGAGAGAGAAACAGUGCCACUCAGGGUCAGCACGCCCCCACUGACCCCUCACCUCUCCCUUCGUGAGGAAGAAAGGACAGGUAACAGCUUAGAAUUCAUAUUUCAAAAACACCCUUGGAGGAGAAGGGCUGUCCUUACAUAGAUUUUUUUUUUAAACAAUAUUAACGGACUUCCUGUUUAAUUUUGGAUGUCUGCUGCUUUUUAAACAUACAUUGGCACUUCUUUCCAGUUCCGGUUUUUCGGUUUGGGCCAGAGUGGCAAUUAGAGGACGAAUUCAUCAGCCAUCAGCACGGGAUUCUGCAAAACCAGAGAGUCUGUUUUUUAGUCUGUGAUCUUCAAAACGCCCAAGUUCUAGAAGGAGUUUGGUUUCACCAGUGUAGGAAGCACCGUCCCAAAGCAAUGAGUCAGGACCGCAGAUUUGAAAACCGCUCUCACCGCAUUUCACUAAUGAGGCCCUCGUUUUGUUCUCCUGUGACAGCAUUUGGUUCUGGGGCUUGCACCCGGUUGGUAAAAAUGCCCUUCUCCGAGGCCUUCCCGUCCAAAGGGCCUGCGGUGCCCGGGGUACGUGCAGGGCAAGCCACCUUGGUCAGUGUGCGAGGGGUCAGCUCAGGGCUUGUGUUUUAUUUUGGCCUGGUGUGUGUGGCUUCUGUAGAGAAGGUCCUCCGAGGGUCGCGUUGGAGCUGUAUGCUAGAGACUCGCCUGUCAAAGUCGAGUUAGGUCCCCUCUAGAAUAUUCCCUGGCGGCAGGGAUAUCCUGUCUUCUGUUUUGAGACGCGGGUAAAAGAAAGGAACCACACAGAUGUGAGAGCUUUGGGGACUCUUCCAAAUGGAACUCUCCCGGUGUUGGGAGCGCUUGCCCCUAAAUCAGAGUCUGCCCUGACCUCCCCGUACCUCCCCAGAUGGUGUCAACACUGGCCUGGGAAGCUAAUAUCUGAGCUGGCCCAAACUCAUGUGAAGAAGAUGGGGCCCCGACCCCAGAAGCCCACGCAGUUAGGGAUUCCUCGUGUAAGAUGGCCAGUGUCCGGGCUGGAUGAAGGACGUCCCGGGGCUUUCCAGCUUAGCACCUGGAUGUUGAAAGCCUGAGUGGGCAGCCCAGCCGAUGUCCCCUGCACCCUGCUCUGCACCUGACAUGCCGCUGAGUGGCCUGGGGGACAUGUGCAUCCUCCCCGGGCCCUUGGAGGGUCAGGGGACAGUGGGGACCAAGGGUGCAUGGGCCAGAGCUGGGAGUUAGCUCACUGACCACUCUCAGGAACACAGCACGCCUUCCAGCCCCGCCCCCGGGUGCCCAGGCAGAUCUGAGAGAGGACUGGGUUGUCACACGGCUCAUGGGCAGCAGAUAUGCUUAGAAACCGCUUUGCGGCCGUGCGCACAUCUCGAGGUUAGAAAUCACGUCUUCUCCAACCCUUGAAAAGAUCGCGGUUCCCCUCCUGCAGCUGUCCUUUUGUCUAAAAUCUGUCGAAUUCUUGAGGUGGCACCCCUGCCCCCGUCUGAGCACCCGCGUGCUGGGGAGGAUGCUGCGUGCACUUGACCAAGGGCACUCCGCAAGGCCUUGGGAGGCCUGGGGCGGCUGCCCCGGGAAGGGCUGGAGGGGUGGGCCACGCCAGCCACGGGCACGGCCACGUGGGUUCCAGGAGAGCUUCCUGCCCCAGACAGUCCCCUCCUCUCCUGCCCAUGACCUCGAAUGGGGUUCUCGUGUGGCCACGGGUGUGUUUCUGAACGGGAGCCUGGGCGGGUCAACGGUGGCAGCCAGGAGGCAUUUCUAGGAGGGAACAGGGAAGGCCGGGUCCCUGCCCACCUCCCAGCACGUCUUGCUUCUGUAAAUAGCGAUGUAUAGAAGACGGGAGAGCGGCCCAGGGUUUAUCCAGAGACGGCUUUGGUUUCUUUGGGGUUUUUUUUUUCCUUUUUUUGGUGGUUUUUCUAUUACCUCAUUCAGCAAGUUUGUUUCACAAGGACUCAAUGACGCUUUAUUUAUAUUGUUUGUACUGUAAUUAAAACCAUUGACAGACAUUUCACUUUGCUUGUUAUUUCUUAUGAUUUUGUUUUGAUUAAAUAUGCCAGUUUGUAUUUUCCUGCAUUGGGAUUUUUUGUGUCGGCUGUACAGUAUUCUAAGGGGGAAAAAAAAGAAAGAGAAAAAUGUGUAAAGUAAUGGAGAGAGGUGGCUAUAGUGUAGAGGCCUCUUUCU